GACAAUGGAUUUACUGCUUCUCUGCAUAUUGGUGUUAUUUUGUAUAAACAAGGUUAACACUCCUUUUAAAUUAAAUGCACCACCUGGUGACUGAGUGGGUGACCUUGCCAGCUUUCUUCACCUGGCUCGGGGAAGCCCAGGCUUUCGCUCCGAUUUCAACCUGUGGCUCUCCUUGGAAUCUCUUUUGCUUCUCACUUAAACAGAGCUCCUGGAGGAGGUUGGCCGGUGACUUGCCCUCUGACCCCGCCGUGGGGGACGAGACCCGAUGGAGGUACUAGGGGCCCCUGCGGCUGAGCCCGUGUCCAGGCACCUUCCACGUGGCGCAGGGCGGAUCAAGGCUUGCCCGGGGCCAGCGCGGGGCUGCCGCCAGCACGAGAGCCUCGGGGACCGCCCUCCUCCGGCAGCCGGUGUCAGCGGAGAGUGACAGACGGUCUGGUGGGCCCUGCCAAGGCAGCCCCUAAAUAGAGAUCUCCAGAGGGGGCAACACCAUAAAAAAGGUUCUUUGUGUUUCACUCUAGCGUGGUAUUGCUCUAAUAUAGAGCUCGGCACUUUCCCCAACCUCUAGGAAUUCGAACACCUGGAAAAAUUCUCCUGGCUUUACAUUGGAGGAAAUUUAAUGGUGUAAACCAACUCUGCAGGGGGGCCCCCUUUGAUUUGAGAAAGCAGUGAUCUGCGGUGCAGUGCUGAGCCGAAGGGGCUUGGAAACGACUUUGCCUGAGAAUGUCCAUUCCUCAAACACUUUAAGGAUGGCUUCGAGUUGUUUAGAAAAAUUUAGGCAGACAGCACCGUCUUGGAAGCAUCUAGAAACUUCGAGAGAAAUAAACUUCAGUUACUCGUUUAAUUACAGGCAUCAGCUUGCCAGUUCCCUGCUAACUGUCCAUUUCCGAAUAGGGCAGAAUUUUUCAGGGGUCUUUGCUGUGCUACUACAGCUUUAUGAAUUGUAGACCGGUUUGUCAGCCUUAUUUUAGCUCGGCAAAUAAGGAAAUCAUACCUGGGAAAGUGAAGUGACUUCCCCAAGGUCACCUGACCCAGAAGCCAAGACUCCAGGCUUGUAAGUUCCAUGAUGUUGAUGCCCUUAUUGUUUCCCUGUGGAGUCCUGCUACCCAGAAAGUAAGCUGUGAGCUAAGGAGAGGAAAAGGCCCAACACCUGCCUGUCAGGGCUCCUGGAUCACGCCCUGCUGCCUGCUGACCUAUAUUGGACUCGAGCCCUUCUUCUGGCAUGCUCACCUGUUAACCCACCUAUCAGCCCACACCUCUGACUGCUGGCUGCUCCCCAUUGAGCCUGAAAUACUGUGCUAUCUGCCUGUACCCUUUUGCAUAAGCUGGGGUUGGGUUAUCUCAGAUUUCUAUUUGGGUCAAGAUUGCCACAUACCUCACCUCUUCUGUUCUGGUCCUCAUCCUGUGUUCCUGGACAAAAAUAACAUUUGAGUAGAAAGCUUUUCUACUUGUUGACAUAGUUGAACAGAUUUUGCUUUAUUGAGAUGAAAUGGAGCCUAAAUUUAUCUGGAAAUGUGUGGAAUCAGUAGAGAGAAGUAAACACAACUCGAAGAAAGCGGGAAACCCCUGUGUACAAUUCAGCUUUUUCACUCCCAGGGAGUUGGGCAUGAUUGUAAAGAAUGAUGUUUUCAAGCCUGCCAAUAACAGAACACGUCUGUAUCCAUUGUGGAUGGGCUUCUUUGAGAAAGCUUCCUUUUCGCCCAAGUAGAGGAGCUCUUCACUGCCCUAAGAUUCUGCUUUCCUACUCCCAUGUCAGAGCAGGAAAAGGUGAAUAUUUUUCACACAGAAUAGCCUCAUCCAUUCCCACGGGGAGUGAGAUAGUUCCUGUAGGGUGCUAGUGAUGGCAUAAAAUUACAGCUCACUAGAGAAACAGUUGCGAGUAAAGAAAUAUAUACAUUUCCUCUAUUUGUGUUCCCUGUCUGUGUUGUCUAAGUUGCAAACAACAGACUCCACUUCAGCUAGGUUAAAGGGAAAAGAGGUUUAAUAAAGAAAAUUAAAUAGCUUAUAGCAUCACUGGGGAACUAGAGAAACAGAUUUAAGGCUAAGCUUCCAGAAACAUAUCCCAAAACAUGCCCCCAAACCGUGACACUGACAUGAAGAGACAGUUGUCAUUGCUGCUUUAUUGAACAGAGGACUGAGAAUUUUUCUACAGUCACUGCUGUUCUCUGCACUGAUGGAAGCCAAGCCUGCCUGGAGAACUCAACUUUGCAACCCAAAGCUGGUGGCUAAUGUGGCUACCCCUACCAACAAAAUGGAAACUCCACCAGGUGUCUGAAUCCAGCUCUCACGACCAUUUAGUGGAGCAGGAAGAAACUGCAGGCCUUUUGGAGGUAUUUCCUUGUGAUUCUGGUCCAAUCCACCACCACCGUCUCACGCUUAGAACCCUGCAAUCCUUCCUGAAGGAGGGCAUUUUGGAAGUGCAACUGGGUCUGCAGUCCUUGACACAGAAACACACUGACUCAACACCUUCUGACGCUGGAGACUUAUGCUUGACAAUUGCCCUUCAAGGAUAAGAAAAAUCCCAGCAAGGCACCGUCCUUGGUUUCAAUGAUGCCCAGAGAAAAGAAAAAGAAAAAAGAAUAUAAAUCUGAUUUCUUUUCCAUUGAAGCAGUUUUAAUGCUUCCAGUGAAACACAGAAAAUAAAGAUUUGUAAUUGGGAGUUCAAGGCCAUCCAUAGCUUCUCUCCUGAGCUUCGUCUCUACAUGUAGAUUUCUUGAGUUCUAGCAUUCCAAUGGUACCAUGUUUACAUCUUUUUAUUUUGGGACCUUGAUGGAAUAAAUGGAGCUAUGUAGUCUACCAGAGUAUGACAGAUAAUGGAUAGCUCGUCAUUUAAAACAAUCUUUUUUGCCGCUAAUAAUUAUACUAGAAUUUUAAAUAUGCUACCUCUUCCACCAGAUGGUCUUGAAUAAUGCUUCCAUCUACUUAAUUGUGCUUUUUGUAAAUCAGUUGCAUAAAAUCUUUUGAUGCAGUUUCAAAGAUCCCUUUUGUAGAAGCACGGAGAUCAUGUAAUUGGCUGAGAACAACUAUCCAGUCUGAGAGGAUGACCUUUUACCCUCUACCCAAAAAGAGCACUCCAGAGAGAAAGGUGCCGUAAUCUGGGUUUAAGGCUUCUUACCAUCAUGUGGAGAGCCUGUUUCCUGUGCCACACACACAGUGGCAAGAAAGCUCAGCUUCAACAUUAAUGUAGAACUUCCCACGUUGCUCUUGAGAAAAUCCACUCCUUAAAGAGGAAGAAAGGACCUCACCCCAUGCCUCCCUCCCUCGGUGGAGAUGCCCACACAUGGGCACUCGGAACCAGUUGCAGGCAACUGUGAAUUGGGAGGAAGGAAAGAAGAGAUUAGGACUGAAAGAGGUGAGUAUGUUCAAGUCUGUUUCUAGUGUAGAGAUAGCGAGAUGGUCACCCGUUAAUUCAUUUGCAAGGCUGAGAGUAAUGCUGAAUCCUGGCUUAGGACACCAGUAGAUGACUUCCCAACAAAUAAGUGGACAAAAAGAUGACACCACCACCUGAAGGAACUUUUAAAGCAAUGAAUGAAGCACCUUGAAAAGUUAGAUUUUGGUUAAGAGACACAUCCCCAAAGUUAAAUGAAAAGGUAGAACCUGGCUUUGCAAAACUGAUGAAAAAUGGCCAUGUAUGCUACAAAGUAAGACCCUUUUUUUGACAUUUUUUUUUUUCCAUGAGAGUCAACAGGGGAAAGUUUGGCUAAUGUUUUCUAUCACUAAAGACUUAAAAAAUAACUGGAAACAUUCCCAUAGGCUUUGUUUGUUUGUUUUUAAGAGGCUUGUUUCUCGUUUUUCCAUGCAAAUUAAAAUUCCUAGUGUGGCUUCUAUAAAUUUGAACUUUUGAAAACUUUCCCUUAGCAUUUGGCUCAAAGUGUAGCUGGCACUUCCGUGUGACAACAGAGAAAUUUCAGUUCUGCUUUUCUUCAGAGCUGCGUGUUAUGGGUUAGAUAAGUAAACUUGGCUUUCUCUGUUCUAACGACAGUGUGUCCAGGGAAGCUGGAAGAAGAAUGGCUCCAGGGUUCCUGUCGAUGCCAGAUUUCACCAGCGCUACCCUGCUUUUAUCAGUUUUCCAUAUAGAGCUUUCAUAAAGGUUUUCUUUUUCUGUUUUUUAAAUUGUGGUAAAAUACAUAUAACAUAAAAUUUACCAUCCGUGACACUAACUGCAUUUACCAUGUUGUGAUGCAACCAUCACCACGAGAACAUUUUCACCACCCCAAAAGGAAACCCCAAACCCAUUAAGCAGUUACUCUUCAUUUUCCCUCUUCCACCAGCCCGUGGCAACCACUAAUCUGCUUUCUGUCUGUGUGGAUUUGCCAACUCUACUUUUUAUGUUUCAUAUAAAUGGAAUUAUGCCAUAUACAUAACCUUCUAUGUCUCACUGCUUCUACUUACAAUAAAUGUUUUCAAUCGAAGUUCAUUCACCUUGUAGCAUGUAUCAAAAUUUCAUUCCUUUUUAUGGUUGAAUAGUAUUCCAUUCCAUGAAUAUGUCACAUGUUAAAAAAUUCCUUCAUGAGUUGAUGAACAUCUGAGUUGUUUUCAUUAUUUUGCUACUGUGAAUAGUGCUAACAUGAGCAUUUUUGUGAAUGUUUUUAUUUGAACACCAGUUUCCAGUUCCUUGGGGAAUAUACCCAGGAGUGGAGUUCCUAGGUCAUAUGGAAAUUCUCUACUGGGCUCAUUGAGGAGCCAUCAAAUUGCUUUCCAUGGUGGCUGGACCAUUUCACGUUCCUGCUAGCAGUUUCCUAGGGUUCCAAUUUCUCCACAUCCCUUCCAACACUUGCUAUUGUCCAUUAUUUUGGUAGUUAUCUAAGUGUGUGUGAAGUAUCUCACUGUGGUUUUGAUUUGCAUUUCCCUAAUGGUUAAUGGUAUUAAGCAUCUCUUUAUGUGCUCAUUGGUCAUUUGUACGAUCUGUGUUAAAGUUUUCUUUUUGAGAAAGUGUUUUUCAGUUUCAAAAACAUAGAUUGUAAAUUACAUUUAGAAUGUGCCCAUUUUUCUAGCCCAGCUUGGUCCCUUUGAGAAGUUGCCCUUGGUCCUGAAACCAACAGCACAAUCCUGCCAGGUGCCAGUGUCCAUGCAGUGAGCUCCUGAGCUGCCUGGUUCUACCUGCUAGUGCCUGGCUGUCUCUUGACUUAUGUAGCUGAAAUUUCUGCAUUAUCUCUUCUUCCAUCUGCCCAAUCGACAUUAUACCUAUUAUAUCACAGGCUUGAUUUGUAGUUCUGCUCCUUAUAUUUAUCCUGUCACAGGAGCUAGCAGCAUGUGCUCCAGAGUUGGACUGUGAUGAAGACCUUGGAGAACCCAGUAUCUCAGUUUUCUCAGCUCUAAAGUGGCUAUCUCCAUAGUACUUGCCUUGUAGAUGUGUUGUAUUAAAUUAGGUAAUGCAUAUACAUCAUUUGGCCUGGUGUUUUUGAGGUGUACACUCAAUAAGAGGUACUUUAUAAACAUCUUGCCUCUCCCUUUGCAUGCUAGUCUCCUUGUACUGACAACCUGGUGAUCCCAUCUGGGUCCCCUGAUAAGACCUGGAUAAUAUGACUCUCUAGUGUUCUUAAGAUACUGUUACUAAAACCAUCUUUAUUUAUUUAUUUCAACUUUUAUUUUAAGUUCAGGGGCACAUGUGCAGGUUUGUUAUAUAGGUGAAUUUGUGUCAUGGGGGUUUGUCAUACAGGUUAUUUUGUCACCCCGGCAUUAAGUGUAGUACUCAUUAGUUAUUUUUCCUGAUUCUCUUUCUCCUUCCACCCUCCACUCUCUGAGAGGCCCAGUGUCUGUUGUUCCCCUGUUUGUACAGGACCAUCUUUAAAGGCAUUGGGACUCAAUACACAAUUUCUAAAUAUCAUGGGAAUUAGCAAAUUAAUUUAUAAGUUUUUAUACAGCAGUUUAAUUCUGGGAAUGUAAUACCGUUUAUUUCUGAACAGGAAAUUUAAUAUCAUCUACUUUUUAUUGAGUGCCUAACAUGUUCCAGCCACUUACUAUAGGUGCUUAUUAUAUUAUUUCUAAUUCUAGUAAUAACGCUGAAAGUUGAUACUAUUGUCUCUGUUCAAUAGUUGAGGCAUAAUUGAAGUCAAAUGGGAGUAAGUAACAGACCGCAGGUCUUAAGGCAGAUUCACUAAGUAGCAAGGUUAAAAUUUAACACUCGGUCCCCAUGAUCCCCCAGUUUUUUGCUCCUUCUUAAUCACCAUACAACUGAUAUUAGAGUGAGUAGCUUUAGGCAUUUACUAGAAUGUUUGAUAUUCAAUGAAAAAAUUCUGAAGGUGCAUGGACCAAUAAAUAUUGUGAAUAUCCAUGUGAAGUUUGUCACUCCCCCAAAAUUUCAUUCCUCUUCCCAUCCUUUCCAUUCCUCUUCCCUGCUGCUCGUGCUCUCUCUUUUUCUACCAGAUGACAGAUGACUAAACAAAAUAAUAAAAUGUGAAGCAAGUUCUGUUUUGCCCAUGGAGGUGGAAAGUGAGUGUGUAUGAUCCGUUGGAAGAAUUUGGAGAAGAUUCUCUAAGAAUUAGGAAAUCGUUACCUGACUGAAUAAAGCAUGUAGAAUUAUGAUUAUUAUGCAGAUGUGUAUCUUGUUCCUGACAAACUAUAAUAUAAAGCAAGUGUUCUGAAAAUAUGUUAAUGAAAAGAAGAAAGUUACACAGGAUGAGAAAUUCACUUUCGCAAUGCUUAAUGUAAAGCUGAUUAUAAUAUUGAAGUCAAAAUUAAUUCAGUCUUAAGUCAUUCAGAUAAUUGAAUAAAUAAAAUUUAUAUUUAAUCUGAUGUAAUUAGCAUGUUUUUAUAUAUCAAUUUCAACAGAAGAAAGAAAAGUACCGCCCACUUUAUUUUCCUAUGGAUCUGGGGUGGCAAAAUAAAUUUUCAUCUCGUGUGUCUGCUACAGUCUCCCAAAUGAUUAGUUAUUUAUUCCUUGUCUGAAUUUGCUGACAAGGUCACCCUCAGACCUUUGCAGGUGGCAGUUGAGAGAACUUCAUAGUCACCUGACCUACUUCCAAGCUGUACCGUCUACAUGAUGCCCAGACACAUUCGACUUCCCUCUUGACUUUCUCACUUGUUCUCCUUGCCUAUUUAUUCUAAUUUUCAUGUUAUCUUGGUGUAUUAGAGCUAUAACUCAUGUUAACUCUUUUUGAGA
rnacentral:lncRNA from 1 species